UCCCUCAUAGCUCAGUUGGUAAAGAAUCUGCCUGCAAUGCAGGAGACCCAGGUUUGAUUCCUGGGUCGGGAA
rnacentral:tRNA from 1 species